rnacentral:rRNA from 1 species
AUUGAACGCUGGCGGCAGGCCUAACACAUGCAAGUCGAGCGAGCGGCGGACGGGUGAGUAAUGUAUGGUGACUGCCCGAUAGAGGGGGAUAACUACUGGAAACGGUGGCUAAUACCGCCUACUAUCCUAUAACCCAUAUGGGAUUAGCUAGUAGGUGGGGUAAAGGCUCACCUAGGCGACGAUCGCUAGCUGGUCUGAGAGGAUGACCGGCCACAAUGGGACUGAGACAGGGCCCAGACUCCUACGGAGGCAGCAGGGGGGAAUAUUGCGCAAGGGGGGCAACCCUGACGAACCAAUGCAGCGUGAAUGAAGAAGGCCUUCGGGUUUGAAAGUUCUUUCGGUAGGGAGGCGUUAACUACAGAAGAAGCAACGGCUAACUCCGUGCCAGCAGCCGCGGUAAUAC